AACUUGAAGCCGAGCCGCGUAGAUAGACGUUAGGUAACAGACCCACCACGCUCACUAGGCUAAGUAGAAAAAAGGUUCAAAAUCUACAUUUCGAAAUCCUGGCCUGUGGAAAUCCUGGUCUAGUCUCCUGCCUCUGGGGCACACAUCUUUAGAUGUCGUUUUCCACGCUCUCGAGAGUUCCUGGCAUGACUUUGUGAUGCGUGCGAUGGAGAAUCCAGCCCUAACGCUUUGCAUUAUAAUGUAGGGAAUCCAUUGCUAUUGUAUUUAACAGAUUGUGUUUUGAAGGGCAAGAUCCUGGAAGCAGAAUGCUAAGUUAGCACAAUUGUCCAUUCAAAGUAAAAACGACAAAGCAGCACCCUGAAUGAUCAUGUCUCAUUGCAACCCAGUCUAAAACAUCCAGCUCUUCCACCCAAGAAAACACAACAAAAUUGCAGUCUCAUUAUUUUCUAACUCGAAGGUCAUCACAGUUCCUGGUCAGGGGAUGAGUACUUCUGUGGACGCGGGCCCCAGUGGCCAGAGACUGAGUGUCUGCUGGGUGCCCCUCACUGUGCUUGUAAGUAGCCCACUGAGUAAUACAACCCGUAUGAGUUUGGCAUAUGGUUAUCCCAUUUUAUGAUGAUGCAACUGAGCCUUCACACUGGCUUAGGUAUUCGCUUAUUCUUUUCCUGAAAGCCCCCAGGCUCCCAAGCUGAGCAAGGUGCAAGGGGACAGAUGUGCAGUCAGUCCAGGACAGAGCUGGCAGAGAUAGCUGGGCCAGCCGGGCUCCCACCAGUUCCUACAGCAGAACAAAUGCGCCCUGCUCAAUGCCUGAAGUGCCGCAACAGGUGGCUGGCAGAGGCUGACUUCAUCCCUCAGGCAUCAUUCUACCUUUGUCUCCCAGGCCAUGCCACCCUUACUGGGGGGAUGUUUCACAUAACCCCUCCCGCUCACCCGAAUUUGCAAAGAUUUUCACCCAGUACAGGGAAAUAUUUGCAGUGCCUGCAGCAUUCCAGAGUUCAGUUGGGGCCAAUGUAA
rnacentral:lncRNA from 13 species